rnacentral:rRNA from 1 species
CGCGGUGCAUUAGCUAGUUGGUAAGGUAACGGCUUACCAAGGCGACGAUGCAUAGCCGAGUUGAGAGACUGAUCGGCCACAUUGGGACUGAGACACGGCCCAAACUCCUACGGGAGGCAGCAGUAGGGAAUCUUCCACAAUGGGCGAAAGCCUGAUGGAGCAACGCCGCGUGAGUGAAGAAGGUUUUCGGAUCGUAAAGCUCUGUUGUUGGUGAAGAAGGAUAGAGGUAGUAACUGGCCCCUAUUUGACGGUAAUCAACCAGAAAGUCACGGCUAACUACGUGCCAGCAGCCGCGGUAAUACGUAGGUGGCAAGCGUUGUCCGGAUUUAUUGGGCGUAAAGCGAGCGCAGGCGGAAAGAUAAGUCUGAUGUGAAAGCCCCCGGCUUAACCGAGGAAUUGCAUCGGAAACUGUGUUUCUUGAGUGCAGAAGAGGAGAGUGGAACUCCAUGUGUAGCGGUGGAAUGCGUAGAUAUAUGGAAGAACACCAGUGGCGAAGGCGGCUCUCUGGUCUGUAACUGACGCUGAGGCUCGAAAGCAUGGGUAGCGAACAGGAUUAGAUACCCUGGUAGUCCAUGCCGUAAACGAUGAGUGCUAAGUGUUGGGAGGUUUCCGCCUCUCA